rnacentral:rRNA from 1 species
GACGAACCGAGCGAACGUUGUUCGGAAUAACUGGGCUUAAAGGGUGCGUAGGUGGCUUGGAAAGUUUGAUGUGAAAGCUCAGGGCUUAACCCUGAAAUGGCAUUGAAUACUGCCGGGCUGGAGGUUUGGAGGGGGGACUGGAAUUCUUGGUGUAGCAGUGAAAUGCGUAGAUAUCAAGAGGAACACCAGUGGCGAAGGCGAGUCCCUGGACAACACCUGACACUGAGGCACGAAAGCUAGGGGAGCAAACAGG